rnacentral:tRNA from 1 species
AGUUAAAUCAAUUAUGUUUUGAAAACAUUUACAAGAAGGGUUCACUUCUAUUAACUU